rnacentral:rRNA from 1 species
GGCGAACGGGUGAGUAAUGUAUCGGAACGUACCAUUGAGUGGGGGAUAACGUAGCGAGAGUUACGCUAAUACCGCAUAUACCCUGAGGGGGAAAGCAGGGGAUCGCAAGACCUUGUGCCCUUUGAGCGGCCGAUAUCAGAUUAGCUAGUUGGUGAGGUAAAGGCUCACCAAGGCGACGAUCUGUAGCGGGUCUGAGAGGAUGAUCCGCCACACUGGAACUGAGACACGGUCCAGACUCCUACGGGAGGCAGCAGUGGGGAAUUUUGGACAAUGGGGGCAACCCUGAUCCAGCCAUGCCGCGUGAGUGAAGAAGGCCUUCGGGUUGUAAAGCUCUUUCGGCCGGGAGGAAAUCGCAUCAGUUAAUACCUGGUGUGGAUGACAGUACCGGAAUAAGAAGCACCGGCUAACUACGUGCCAGCAGCCGCGGUAAUACGUAGGGUGCGAGCGUUAAUCGGAAUUACUGGGCGUAAAGCGUGCGCAGGCGGUUUGUUAAGAUAGGCGUGAAAUCCCCGGGCUCAACCUGGGAACUGCGUUUAUGACUGGCAGGCUAGAGUAUGGCAGAGGGGGGUGGAAUUCCACGUGUAGCAGUGAAAUGCGUAGAGAUGUGGAGGAACACCGAUGGCGAAGGCAGCCCCCUGGGCCAAUACUGACGCUCAUGCACGAAAGCGUGGGUAGCAAACAGGAUUAGAUACCCUGGUAGUCCACGCCCUAACGAUGUCAACUAGGUUUUUGGGUGUGGGUAAAACCAUUUAGUACCGGGAGCUAACGCGUGAAGUUGACCGCCUGGGGAGUACGGCCGCAAGGUUAAAACUCAAAGGAAUUGACGGGGACCCGCACAGCGGUGGAAAAAUGUGGGAUUAAUUCGAUGCAACGCGAAAACCUUACCUACCCUUGACAUGUCCAGAAGCUCUAGAGAUUUGAGUGUGCCCGAAAAGGAGCUGGAACACAGUGCUGCAUGGCUGUCGUCAGCUCGUGUCGUGGGAGAUUGUUUGGGUUAAGUCCCCGCAACGA